UGUGGGAGCGGGCUUGCCCGCGAUUGCGGAAUAUCAGUCAACCUCUCUGUGGCUGACCUACCGUCAUCGCGGGCAAGCCCGCUCCCACA
rnacentral:misc_RNA from 1 species